AACGAACGCUGGCGGCAUGCCUAACACAUGCAAGUCGAACGAGACCUUCGGGUCUAGUGGCGCACGGGUGCGUAACGCGUGGGAACCUGCCCUUAGGUUCGGAAUAACUCCCCGAAAGGGGUGCUAAUACCGGAUAAUGUCUUCGGACCAAAGAUUUAUCGCCUUUGGAUGGGCCCGCGUUGGAUUAGCUAGUUGGUAGGGUAAAAGCCUACCAAGGCGACGAUCCAUAGCUGGUCUGAGAGGAUGAUCAGCCACACUGGGACUGAGACACGGCCCAGACUCCUACGGGAGGCAGUAGUGGGGAAUAUUGGACAAUGGGCGAAAGCCUGAUCCAGCAAUGCCGCGUGAGUGAUGAAGGCCUUAGGGUUGUAAAGCUCUUUUACCCGGGAUGAUAAUGACAGUACCGGGAGAAUAAGCUCCGGCUAACUCCGUG
rnacentral:rRNA from 1 species